rnacentral:lncRNA from 1 species
AUGGUCCCGAGAUUUGUGGAGCCCAGCGUUGUGAGAACACCCCUGGCUCCUACCGCUGCACACCAGCCUGUGACCCUGGCUAUCAGCCCACGCCAGGGGGCGGAUGCCAGGAUGUGGACGAAUGCCGGAACCGGUCCUUCUGCGGUGCCCACGCCGUGUGCCAGAACCUGCCCGGCUCCUUCCAGUGCCUCUGUGACCAGGUUACGAGGGGGCACGGGAUGGGCGUCACUGCGUGGAUGUGAACGAGUGUGAAACACUACAGGGUGUAUGUGGAGCUGCCCUGUGUGAAAAUGUCGAAGGCUCCUUCCUCUGUGUCUGCCCCAACAGCCCGGAAGAGUUUGACCCCAUGACUGGACGCUGUGUUCCCCCACGAACUUCUGCUGACGUGGACGAAUGUCAGCUCUUCCGAGACCAGGUGUGCAAGAGUGGCGUGUGUGUGAACACGGCCCCGGGCUACUCAUGCUAUUGCAGCAACGGCUACUACUACCACACACAGCGGCUGGAGUGCAUCGACAAUGACGAGUGCGCCGAUGAGGAACCGGCCUG